GAUUGACGCAACUCUGGUCGCACAAAGUCUGCAUCAGCAGGCACCGAAAUAUCAACUGUAGGUCUCAGUUCGGCGCAUACUUUAAUGGCUCCAUGUACUGGAUCUGACAUGAAGUUGCUGAUGAGGUCUUGGUUGAUGGGUGCACCAUUAUCCACAGAAACCAAGGCCUGCUGAGUAAGAAUGUAAUCAAAUCUUGGAGCCCAUUUCCUAGACCCCAACCGAGCUGUUGUUGAACAAUUGUCAACCAUGAAGGCAACUCCCCGAGCAUGCAUAAAAGGAUUCAAAGAAUCCACAGACUCAAUAACGCUUUCAUUAAUGAUCUCUGAAUAUGAAUGACCCUUCUUCC
rnacentral:lncRNA from 1 species